AAAAUAUAUUUCAAUUGCCAAAAUAGAGUUCUUGUACAUAGUUACGUGUUAUAGAGAUUGCAUGAGGCAAGAAGAUUGAACACAUUACAACUUUUUUAAUAUGCUUUACAGCAAGUACAUAGAUUAAAAUGCAGACCAAACAAAGUCUGUAGACUUAAAACUGCAACCGCAAGUGUUAGAGACUGAAUGACAAUUUCAGAAAUCUGGGUACUAAAACAUGCGGUUUAGUAAAUCCCAGUUAAGUCUUACUGGAUCUGAAACUGCAGGGGCAAGAUAUGAUUAUCUCUAAGUACAGGGUUGAAUUGAAUAAAUUCCAAAGAAGAUAAGAUCCCCAAUUUCUUAUCCCAUGCGAGCGUCGUGGCCAUGGUAACUGCUGCCGCUGUGCAGUGCGGGCAGACCGAUGGUUGCGCCGCCGCGUUUUGCGCCUCGUGGGCUGCCUCUGCCCGGGCUGAGGACCGCGCUGCCGCACGCCGGCCGAUGGCCGCCGCCGCAUAGCCGCGAGACACCGUGUUUGCUGCCGGACGUUGCCAUGCCGGGCACCGGACGUUGGCCACUGCUGCCGCUGUGCGUUACGCGCCUGGCCGCCUCAUCGAAAAAUAUGCAGGCCCGGAGUGCAUCCUCCGCCACGCCGGGGCCGUGGUCCACGGCCGCCUCGGGGUGCAGCGCUGGGAGCAGCCGGGCCGAAGGAUGUCGCCGCUCCGCGAGGAGCCUAGCCGAGGUAAACGUCGACCGGGCCAUGGGUUGCUGCCGAAGUUUGCUUUGGACGACAUUAAAAACGAUGCACUAGAGGUUAGUAUAACAAAUUCGGAAUUGAAUCACCUGAUUGAUGUAUGAUGCAGAGUUGGUCUUUGCAUUAUUGUCGUUUUGUACGAGAUGUGUCACAUGGAUCUUGUAUGUUUUCUUCUGAUCCCCUUGCCGUUCUGCUGUUCUUGACCUUUCUCUGAAUUUUGUGCUUUCUUUCUCUUUGCAUCUGGUUUCUUCCCUGAUCGAGAGACUCGCAGCGCCUGCGCCUGUGCCGCGAACGCCUCCGGCUGAUGCGGGAGGUCGAGGCCACGCGACCACGCGCCGUCUGGAGACCUGCGCCGCCGUGCCGCUCUGCAGGGUGCGGCGUGCUCGCACCACGCGCCGGAGGGCGUGGGCUGCCGCCGGGGACAACGAGAUGCGUCAAGGAACGCUGGGCAUCCGGUCGUGUCGGAGAAACCUUGCUGCCUCUCGGGCAUCAAGGACGUCGCCGGUGACGGAUUGAUGUGGGUGGCCUAAUCGCUCGCUCCAGAUAUUUCCGAGCUGAUUCGUGCGCGCGUGCGUCUGCGGGUGCUUGUUGCAGGUAGCUUGAAAGGACCCCCUGGUCGGUCACGCACUCGGCCGCCAUUUCAGCCUGAAGGUACAGGUGGACACGCAGCCCCCACUCUGAACUUUUUACAACAUGAAACAAGAAUUAUUAGCCACUAAAUGAGCCGCUUGUAGUGCCAAAGCCACUGAUUCAGGCCAGAGAUGGAUGGACACCUGGAUCAACGCAUGCCCGCCCUAUCAGGUCCGGUGUGUUGUUGACGUCGAUCGGUCGGCGGCGGCCUUGAUGGCCUAACCAAAUUGGCGACUGUUUAUUGGGGCAUCCACUCCAUCUCCACCGGAGGCAGCAAAAACGACAUGCCUCUUCAGAUUGUGCAAAGGACAAAAUCAUGAGCAAAAGCUUUUUUAAGUGGAUGUCAAACGCGCAGGAUUUCAUAUAAAAUUAGUUGUCUUUGUCUGAAAAUUUCAGAGUGCGUGUGCGUCUCUAGCUAAGCUUGGACCAUACGUGUUCGUGGAGAAGAAAUAUCUGGUUCUGUUUGAUGCUCUGAUCAAGUGAUUAUUCUCGGUUUGCUCCUUUUGUGUCCAGGGAGACACUGUAUCUGCAGAACAGCACGUUGUCCAAAUGCGUGCAGUAUAUUCUACGAUUGUUUCUGGAUUCU